GACGAACGCUGGCGGCGUGCUUAACACAUGCAAGUCGAACGGAAAGGCCCUGCUUUUGUGGGGUGCUCGAGUGGCGAACGGGUGAGUAACACGUGAGUAACCUGCCCUUGACUUUGGGAUAACUUCAGGAAACUGGGGCUAAUACCGGAUAGGAGCUCCUGCUGCAGGGUGGGGGUUGGAAAGUUUCGGCGGUUGGGGAUGGACUGGGGGCUUAUCAGCUUGUUGGUGGGGUAGUGGCCUACCAAGGCUUUGACGGGUAGCCGGCCUGAGAGGGUGACCGGCCACAUGGGGACUAAGAUACGGCCCAGACUCCUACGGGAGGCAGCAGUGGGGAAUAUUGCACAAUGGGCCGAAGCCGGAUGCAGCACCGCCGCGUGCGGGAUGACGGCUUUCGGGUUGUAAACCGCUUUCGCCUGUGACGAAGCGUGAGUGACGGUAAUGGGUAAAGAAGCACCGGCUAACUACGUG
rnacentral:rRNA from 1 species